CCUUACUUCCCCUUCAUUGAGCCCGUGGCAGGAGACAAAGCAGGUACACAGAGGACAUGGAGCUGGAGGUUUGGAAAUGUGUAAGGAAUGGCAAGCAAACCUGAAUUAUGAAGGAGACAUGAGGCUGCUCAGGAUGGGAGGGAGAAAGGCAAUGGCUCAUCAGGCGAAGCUUUCUGUGCUACAGAAGAGGAGCAGAGGAGGCUGUGUGUGUACUCUUCCAGGAGCUGCUUAGGCUUCAGAGCCAUAAAUAAUCGCCUGUGCUCUUCUGCUGAGCCCACGUGAGGAGAGGUUGGUACAGUCCCCUGUGAGCAAAGAUCUCACCUCCCUGACCCAGACAGAGGCCCAGAGCACCAAAUACACCAGGACGAAGAGCCAGCUUGAAAGCACAGCCCACAGGAGGCAUGCCAGCUUUUCCUUAGAGAGUGAAAAAGAGAGAUCCAGCCUUGGGACCUGACACCCGGACAGUCAGCAUGACCAGACAAUGGUCUCACUCAUCUUUGGCUCCACCCAGGAACCCCCAGUUUGCCCUCUGCACCUAGGGUAACCACCAGCAUGCCAAAGGAAUGAUGACUUUGGAACUACAGGGAAAAUCCAUGAUAUUUACCUGAAUACUCUGACACCAUAGGCUAUUUUAUUCUGAUUUAUUUCUCAGGAUUGGUGUUUAGUAAUUUUACCAGUAGUGGAUUUUAUGGACUGCUUAAGAAUAA